GAGGAGCCCAGCCCUGGGAUUUUCAGGUGUUUGCAUUUGGUGAUCACGACUGAACUCAGAGACUGAACUCACCAUGGAGUUUGUGCUGAGCUGGGUUUUCCUUGUUGCUAUUUUGAAAGGUGUCCAGGGUGAGGUGCAGCUGGUGGAGUCUGGGGGUGGCUUGGUUAAGCCAGGGGGAUCCAUGAGACUCUCCUGUGCAGCCUCUGGAUUCACCUUCAGUAACUAUGGCAUGCACUGGGUCCGCCAGGCUCCAGGAAAGGGGCUGGAGUGGGUCUCAGCUAUUGGUACUAGUGGUGACACAUACUACACAGACUCCGUGAAGGGCCGAUUCACCAUCUCCAGAGACAACGCCAAGAACUCGCUGUAUCUGCAGAUGAACAGCCUGAGAGCCGAGGACACGGCCGUGUAUUACUGUGCGAGAGACACAGUGAGGGGAAGUCAGUGUGAGCCCGGACACAAACCUCCUGCAGGAACGCUUGGGGGAAAUGAGCUGCAGGGGGCACUCAGGAGCCACUGA